rnacentral:rRNA from 1 species
UAGCGGCGAGCGAAACGGCAGGAGGGCAAACCGAGAAGUUUACUUCUCGGGGUUGUAGGACUGCGACAUGGGACUUUAAAAGGAUAGAAGAAUUACCUGGGAAGGUAAGCCAAAGAGAGUAAUAGCCUCGUAUUUAAAAUUCUUUUGAGCCCUAGCAGUAUCCUGAGUACGGCGAGACACGCGAAAUCUCGUCGGAAUCUGGGAGGACCAUCUCCCAACCCUAAAUACUCUCUAGUG